UACGUAGGUGGCAAGCGUUGUCCGGAUUUACUGGGCGUAAAGAGCGCGCAGGCGGUCGUUCAAGUCGCGUGUGAAAGCCCCCGGCUCAACUGGGGAGGGUCACGCGAUACUGAUCGACUCGAAGGCAGGAGAGGGAAGUGGAAUUCCCGGUGUAGUGGUGAAAUGCGUAGAUAUCGAGAGGAACACCGGUGGCGAAGGCGGCGAUCUGGACGAUGACUGACGCUGAGACGCGAAAGCGUGGGGAGCAAACAGG
rnacentral:rRNA from 1 species